ACAUGAUUUCGGGGAAUAGAACUCAUGCCAUUAGGUAUAUGUGGAAAACACCUUUACCUGUUAAACCAUCUCGCUGUCCCCUGGACUUUUAAAUUUUAAUUAUGGAUUCUCUAGAAUAGAUUUAGUUUAGCAUUGGUAAUCAUCCAGGAGUUCACUAUAGCCUUUAAGCUAGUUAGGAUUUUUAAUUUGCUGGUGGAAAUACUUAAGUGAGUGGGUGGUAUAGCAUGAAAUCCUCCCUUGGCAUAUGGCCUGUGCCUUGAGGAUAAGAAAACUGAGGACCGCUGGGUGGCGCAGGGAUACCUAAAGGUGCGUGUCUGUAGGAAGGAACGUUGCGAUAGUCCAGGGCUCGGUGAUAUGCUUCCAAAAUGCCCGGAAGGCCCCUGUGAAGAAACUGCGCGCAGGGAUCAAGAGCCUGCGGGGAUUGGGACUGUUGCUCGGGGCCGCAGAGAUGCGGCAAGCGACUGGGUGGACGCCACGUGGGGCUACUAGGAGGUGGUUCCGGGAGCGCUCAUCCUGGAUCAUCUCCUUUCUCCAUCUGCACACACGCAGGCCAAGCUGUACCACUCGGAGGUGCUGGAGCUGAUGGCUCCUACGAAUUGAGCUCUAGGCCUUAGGCAAGACCAAAGAGGAAAAGGAAAUCAACUUCUUCAAAGUUGAUAAAGACUGGAGGAAAAGCAACUGGUAAAAUUGUACUCAUAUGACCACACAUAUGAACUGUCAAGAAAGAUACCAAAGGACAAACUCUUCUUAAGGUAAAAGACGACAUAAAGAGGCCAGAAAAUGGUGUCACAUCCCCUGGAACUGGAGUUAUAGGUGUUUGUGAGCCACCAUAUGAAUGAGGGAGUCGAACUCAGGUCCUCUAGAAGAACAGCCAGUGCUCUGAACUGCUGCACCACCUCUCAAGCCUCUAGUUUAAAUCCUUUGAGGAGCCUCCAAACUGAUUUCAAUAAUGGCUAUAUUAAUUUGUGCUCCCACCAGUGAGAAUAAGAGUUCCUGUUUCCCUACAUCUUCUCCAUUUAUUGUUAGUUUUCUUAGUGAUAGCCUUUCUGACUGGGAUGAGGUGGUAAAUAUCCUACCAUAGAGCUAUUUUCACAUCCACGUUUAUUGCUAUUCUACAUAGCAUAGCGAAGAAAUGGAACCAGUCUAGAUCUAGAUGUCUAUUAACAAAUGAGUGAAUAAUGCAAAUGUGGUACAUUUAUGGAGUGGACAUUCUUUAAAUUUUCAGGAGAAUGGUUGAACUUGGAAAGUUCAUUAAGUGAGAUACCCAAAUUCAGAGAGAGAAAAGUUAUAUCAUGCUCUCCUUCAUAUGUGGAUCCUAGCCUGUAAUCAAUCAAUCAAUCUCUCUCUCUCUCUCUCUCUCUCUCUCUCUCUCUCUCUCUCUCUCUCUCUCCCUCCCUCCCUCCCUCUCUGUCUCUCUGUGUGUGUAUAUGUGUGUGUUUGUGUGUGUGCAUAUGCUGUCAGUGUAUGCAUAGCAUCACCUUUAGAAAGGAAAACAAGAAAGGGUAAUGAUCAAUGAUGUGGAAGGAUGGAAUACAGGCAAAAGAACACGUGAGUGAUGAAUGAGGAUAUAAUGCUAUUUUCAUUUCUAGUUUCAUCCCUGUUGUAGUUAUGUUUUUCUUCCAUUUUGUGGAGAAUAGGCAUACAAAAAUAUAAUGGAUAGUUAUUAGUUAAAACCCUAAUGGAAGGUCCAUGGCUUUAGAAUGGCUCUUCAAACUGUACAAAAGUUCAUUGAGAUAUACAGAGUUUAGACUGAGCAAAUGUUUGAGUGGCUGUGUGAUAUCUUUAUUUGUGAGUUCAUUACAACACAGUGUUUUGUUUAGUAAUAAGAUAAUUUUAAGAUUUCAA
ensembl:processed_transcript